UGGGGCUUGAAGUCACAAACCCCAGAUCAAGGGCCACAUGGUCUUCUGAUUGACCCAGCCAGCCUCCCCUAGAUGCCAGGGUUUUUUUGAAGAUUGGGUUUGGAGAAUUGAUACAAGCACUUUUAUUGAAGCUCUGACACCAUGGUUUUUCUCUUAACCUUGGAUGAGGAUUUUUCUCCAUCAUUAUCUUCUAAGGAGACUCAACUGAUGGGUUUCUCUUUUUCUCAGUUCUUUCUUCCCCUUUUGGUAUUGGUCCUGUCUUCUUCAGAAUGACAGUACUAUUUUGAAUUCUUCUCAUCACUGCUGAUUUUUACCAAUAGUCAACUUCUUCCCUUUCCUCUCUGUUUUCUCAAUUUCCAGCUUCGAAGUGAAAAAGAGACACGGAAUAAGCUCAUUGAGUCAGACCUGAACAGCAAGUUGCAGAGUGGACUCUUUAAGAACAAAGAGAAGAUGCUCUAUGAGGAGGAGGUACCCAAGUCCCAGGAAAUGGAGGAAGAAAGCAAAGAGUCUAGCAGCUCCAGCUCAGAGGAGGAGGAAGGUGAAGAUGAAGCUUCUGAGUCAGAAACUGAGAAGGAGGCAGAUAAAAAGCCAGAAGCCAUUGUCAACCAUUCCAACUCUGAAAGCAAGAGUAUUAUCACGGAA
rnacentral:lncRNA from 1 species